AACGAACGCUGGCGGCAUGCCUAACACAUGCAAGUCGAACGAAGUCUUCGGACUUAGUGGCGCACGGGUGCGUAACGCGUGGGAAUCUGCCCUUGGGUGCGGAAUAACUUCUCGAAAGGGAUGCUAAUACCGCAUAAUGUCGUAAGACCAAAGAUUUAUCGCCCAAGGAUGAGCCCGCGUAAGAUUAGCUAGUUGGUGGGGUAAAAGCCUACCAAGGCGACGAUCUUUAGCUGGUCUGAGAGGAUGAUCAGCCACACUGGGACUGAGACACGGCCCAGACUCCUACGGGAGGCAAGCAGUGGGGAAUAUUGGACAAUGGGCGAAAGCCUGAUCCAGCAAUGCCGCGUGAG
rnacentral:rRNA from 1 species